UACGGAGGGUGCAAGCGUUAUCCGGAAUCACUGGGUUUAAAGGGUGCGUAGGUGGUCAGAUAAGUCAGAGGUGAAAGCCCGGCGCUCAACGUCGGAAUUGCCUUUGAUACUGUUUGACUUGAAUUAGGUUGAGGUGGGCGGAAUGUGGCAUGUAGCGGUGAAAUGCAUAGAUAUGCCAUAGAACACCAAUUGCGAAGGCAGCUCACUGGCCCUAAAUUGACACUGAGGCACGAAAGCGUGGGGAGCGAACAGG
rnacentral:rRNA from 1 species